rnacentral:rRNA from 1 species
CAAGCCCUGGAAACGGGGUCUAAUACCGGAUAUGAUCACCGGCCGCAUGGUCUGGUGGUGGAAAGCUCCGGCGGUGCAGGAUGAGCCCGCGGCCUAUCAGCUUGUUGGUGGGGUGAUGGCCUACCAAGGCGACGACGGGUAGCCGGCCUGAGAGGGCGACCGGCCACACUGGGACUGAGACACGGCCCAGACUCCUACGGGAGGCAGCAGUGGGGAAUAUUGCACAAUGGGCGAAAGCCUGAUGCAGCGACGCCGCGUGAGGGAUGACGGCCUUCGGGUUGUAAACCUCUUUCAGCAGGGAAGAAGCUUUCGGGUGACGGUACCUGCAGAAGAAGCACCGGCUAACUACGUGCCAGCAGCCGCGGUAAUACGUAGGGUGCGAGCGUUGUCCGGAAUUAUUGGGCGUAAAGAGCUCGUAGGCGGCGUGUCACGUCGGAUGUGAAAGCCCGGGGCUUAACCCCGGGUCUGCAUUCGAUACGGGCAGGCUAGAGUUCGGUAGGGGAGAUCGGAAUUCCUGGUG